rnacentral:rRNA from 1 species
UGGGAAGGAUAUGAUAAACUCUUGUUGUUGUGUCAUUAGUCUGAGUGGUAAACACAUGAAACAAGUUAAAACUUUCAACAACGGAUCUCUUGGUUCUCGCAUCGAUGAAGAACGCAGCGAAAUGCGAUAAGUAGUGUGAAUUGCAGAAUUCAGUGAAUCAUCGAAUCUUUGAACGCACAUUGCGCCUUCUGGUAUUCCGGGAGGCAUGCCUGUUCGAGCGUCAUCAAACACAUNCUCAAGCACUUUUGCUUGGUAUUGGUGGCAGAUGUCCGCAUCUCCUCUUAAAUUCCUCAGCGGAAACUACUGCGGUCUCAGGUGUCAUAAGAUUACCUUUCGCUUGAUAACUGCCGGUAGGUUCUUGCUGUGAAGAGCCCCCCAGCUAUUCUUUUACGUUUGACCUCGAAUCAGGUAGGGAUACCCGCUGAACUUAAGCAUAUCAA